rfam:Medicago truncatula strain A17 chromosome 5, whole genome shotgun sequence.
AUAUAAGCAAAAUUGACUUUUUAGGUUCAUUCAUUUAAUGAUGUAUGUGGUCUAUAAUAUGAACCACAUACAUCAUUAAAUGAAUGAACCUAAAAAGUCAAUUUUGCUUAUAU